rnacentral:lncRNA from 1 species
AAAGCGACGGACAAAAGGGACCAUAUCCGUCGCUUUUCUGCAUUUUUUUUGAUGCAAAAAUCUGCAUUUUUUGCAUCCCACCUGCCAAAUAAAAAUGCAAUUCAAUAUAUACAGCCUCAUGCAACAUACAUUUCUAAAAUAAUCAUACAACGCACAACAUUAUCAAAAAAUUUAAGCAAUUCAAAUCAACAACACUUAAACAAUCAAAUCCAAAAUACAAAACACUUAAUAAUUAAUCCAACAACUACCAAAACACUUAAACAAUCGUAAAGUUUUUUCAUUAGAGUCUACAGGUGUCUGAUAUUUUUUUUUAGCAGUUGACUUCGAGCUCAUACAUCAAAACAUAUAAAACAUAUAAAAUUCAAGUCAUCAGUUCAUAUUUCAUGUGACUACACUUAAUAUUUUCAAGUUACUAGUAUACAUUUCAAGAUACUAUACUCAAACCAUUUUUAAAUAUCUAAUUGACAUUUUAUUUCACUAUACUUAACCAUUUUCAAAUAACUAAUAGACAUUUCAAGUAACUAAACUUAACCAUUUUCAAGUCACUACUACACGUUUAAGUCACUAUACCUAACCAUUUUCAAAUAACUAAUUCACGUUGCAAGUCACCACACUUAGAAUAUUUUCAAGUUUUUAGUACAUAUUUCAAAUCACUACACUUAACUAUUUUCAAUUAACUAAAUCACAUUUCAAGUCAAUAUACUCAAUCAUUUUCAAGUGACUAUACUUUAUUAUUUUAAAGUUAUCAGUACACAUUUCAAGUAACUACACUUAACCAUUUUCAAACAUCAAGUUCACAAUUUCAAGAAGCUACACUUAACCGUUUUCAAGUCACAAGUUCACAAUUUUAAGUAACUACACUUAAUCAUUUUCAAGUCACUACAAUUAAUAAUUUUCAAAUUACUUAUUCACUAGUACACAUUUCAAGUCACUACACUCAAACCAUUUUCAAAAAGCUAAUUAACAUUUCAAG